rnacentral:rRNA from 1 species
UACGUAGGGUGCAAGCGUUAAUCGGAAUUACUGGGCGUAAAGCGUGCGCAGGCGGCUUUGCAAGACAGAUGUGAAAUCCCCGGGCUUAACCUGGGAACUGCAUCCGAUACUGGAUGGCUUGAAUCCGGGAGAGGGAUGCGGAAUUCCAGGUGUAGCGGUGAAAUUCGUAGAUAUCGAGAGGAACACCGGUGGCGAAGGCGGCCUUCUGGACAGUGACUGACGCUGAGACGCGAAAGCGUGGGGAGCAAACAGG